AAGCGCUUGUGACCAGACUUGAGCCCGGUUAAUCAUCCAGUGUUCUCACUGGUGCACUUGGCCGGCUCAGGCCAGCAUCAGUUCGGCGCGGGGGAUAAAGGCUUCGGGAAUGUGGCUCCCCCGGGAGUGUUAUAACCCGUUGUGCAAUACCCUGCGCUGGACUGAGGUUCGCGCAUCUGCAAGGAUGCUGGCGUAAUGGUCAUCAGCGA
rnacentral:rRNA from 1 species